AAUCAUUUUUCCGUGUUGUUGCCAUUGGUUUUGUUGUGAAAAAAAAACUGGUUGGCUAGAACCAGAUUGAUUUUGAAUCAUUGUUUCUCCAGUUUUAAAUAAUUUCUAGUGCUGAAGAACAAAGUUCUCACCAACUAUUGCGGAACAAAAUGGAAGCAAAAGACCUUUUGGAGAACCGACCAAGGAACCGACUCAAUUUUUCUUGAACAUGAUUUGGUCAGUAUCGUAUUCUCCUUCGAUGCGGCUUCCCGGACCCGGAUGCUCGAGAAAAAUCAUAAAUAAUGCCGAACUCGCUGAUAUAAAUGUUAAAUUAUUCGUAAAAUUUACAUAAUUUUUCACGGAAAACAUGAAUUUAAUGUGUAAAUAUACAAUGUGAGUGUAAAAUACAAGUGUUUUCAUUUAAUAUGUGGAGUAAUUUAUAAAUGUUUCCUUCUGAUGAAAGAUAUGGGAUACGGUGCGUCAUUUUUUUUCAUGUAUCAUUCUAUGGUUAACAAAUAACAACCCAUACUGUUCUUAUUUGAAACACGGAUUAUAAAUGGACCAUACCACAUGAUGUAUCACGAAAAUAAUGUACUGAAAAAUAUCCCUUUUUAUACAGUAAUUAUACUUAACCGCCUAUUACUCAUAUGGUCGAUUUACCAAAAACAACAAACCAUACUGUAAAUACCAUUUAUGGAGAGGUUGGUGUAUCUUAAAUAUGUACA